GAUGAACGCUGGCGGCGUGCUUAACACAUGCAAGUCGAGCGAAGCACUUAAGUCUGAUUCUUCGGAUGAAGACUUUUGUGACUGAGCGGCGGACGGGUGAGUAACGCGUGGGUAACCUGCCUCAUACAGGGGGAUAACAGUUAGAAAUGACUGCUAAUACCGCAUAAGACCACGGUACCGCAUGGUACAGUGGUAAAAACUCCGGUGGUAUGAGAUGGACCCGCGUCUGAUUAGGUAGUUGGUGGGGUAACGGCCUACCAAGCCAACGAUCAGUAGCCGACCUGAGAGGGUGACCGGCCACAUUGGGACUGAGACACGGCCCAGACUCCUACGGGAGGCAGCAGUGGGGAAUAUUGCACAAUGGAGGAAACUCUGAUGCAGCGACGCCGCGUGAAGGAUGAAGUAUUUCGGUAUGUAAACUUCUAUCAGCAGGGAAGAAAAUGACGGUACCUGACUAAGAAGCCCCGGCUAACUACGUGCCAGCAGCCGCGGUAAUACGUAGGGGGCAAGCGUUAUCCGGAUUUACUGGGUGUAAAGGGAGCGUAGACGGCACGGCAAGCCAGAUGUGAAAGCCCGGGGCUCAACCCCGGGACUGCAUUUGGAACUGCUGAGCUAGAGUGUCGGAGAGGCAAGUGGAAUUCCUAGUGUAGCGGUGAAAUGCGUAGAUAUUAGGAGGAACACCAGUGGCGAAGGCGGCUUGCUGGACGAUGACUGACGUUGAGGCUCGAAAGCGUGGGGAGCAAACAGAAUUAGAUACCCUGGUAGUCCACGCCGUAAACGAG
rnacentral:rRNA from 1 species